rnacentral:misc_RNA from 1 species
GUGAAUCAUCGAAUUUUUGAACGCAAAUUGCACUUUCUUCGGAGAGUAUGCCUGUUUGAGGGUCAGCCUAAAAAUAAUCGACAUAGUUGCUGUUACGCGGUAACUUUCGUCGGAAAUUGGGUCAUUUUAAACCCUUGGGUUUAAGCGGCUUAAAAUUUUCUUUACGUUUCCAAGUAUGUUUCUAUGCUUUUAUUUUCUUUUAUUUUUCUGGUAUCGAUCUUUAUUUGUUGUGGCAGUUGCUUAG